UACGUAGGUGGCAAGCGUUGUCCGGAAUUAUCGGGCGUAAAGCGCGCGCAGGUGGUUUCUUAAGUCUGAUGUGAAAGCCCACGGCUCAACCGUGGAGGGUCAUUGGAAACUGGGGAACUUGAGUGCAGGAGAGAAGAGUGGAAUUCCACGUGUAGCGGUGAAAUGCGUAGAGAUGUGGAGGAACACCAGUGGCGAAGGCGACUCUUUGGCCUGUAACUGACACUGAGGCGCGAAAGCGUGGGGAGCAAACAGG
rnacentral:rRNA from 1 species